CGGGCACGCGCGAGUCUGGCGCUGGAGGUCCACCCCUCGAGUGUUCGUGUCGCAGCCUGGGCCUCGGAGGGGCCAGUGUGCUCACUUCACUUGCCCCGGGGCCUCCCGUCUGACUACAGCAUGGGGGAUUAAGGCUCAGUCCAGACCCUCUCCCCCUGGGGUCAGGGCUGGACAGAGGGAGGAGGUACAACUUCCAGAAGAAUGAGUUGGGGACAAGAUGGGCAGUGACCCUUGGUCUUGGCUGACCUGAAAGAGGCUGUUAGUGGUACGUCACAAAUCACACCCUCGCCAUCCUGGUACACAGUAGGACCUUAACUGAUACAAGUGGAGUGAAUGAAUGAACAGGUGUCCAGCUCUCACAGUGCCUAGACAGCACUGAAAGGCUCCUGGGAAUCUUUGCACAAACUCUGCAAAGGGAUGGGCCAUCCCUUUGUAAAUGCUGCCACCUUGUGGCCAUGUUCAGAAGUGCAGCCAAGCAUUGCCUCCUGGUGCAAGGACCAAAGUCAGCGCUGGAGGUACCCUACAGAAUCAAGCCAGGUCCCAAACUUCUGCAGGAAGCGCAGCUUGGUAAGCUGGUGCAGGCCUGGUACACGUCGCUUGACAAUCUCAGCACAGCUCACCGCCUUCCCUGCGGCCCGGCCAGAACCUGAGAACACCACAUGCCGUGCACUACCACCCUCCAAUCGACCCAGUGCCAGCCCCAGAAGGUUGCGGAUUUUGCUGCCAUCUCGGACCCGCAUCUCCAGGGUAUCAGGAGGUAGCUGCGGCAUUGGAGAAGGUGCUGGGAGUUCCACAGAGCCAGCUUUCCGAUAGUGCUCCAUCCCACUUGCUGUGGUGUCUGGACUUCACGGCCCACUGCAGGGAAGUGUCAAAUGAAUGUUGGGCAAUGUGCCCCAAGCCACCCCCAGCCCCAGCUCUCCAGCAAAUGGUUCUGCUCCUCAUCCCAUAUUUACCAGGAACAGGACUAUAACCCCUCACACACAUACACACUCCACCCCCUCUCCCCCACCCCCACUUCUCAGCACAGAUGCCUAUGGCAUCUCCAGCCUAUCUUUUUUAUUUUUUUUUAAGUAAGCGCUAGCUCUACACCCAAUGUAGGGCUCGAAGUCACAACCCUCAAAAUCAAGAGUUGCAUGCUCUACCUACUGAACCAGCCAGGCGCUCCUCUAGCUUACUUUUAACUCAGGCAAAACACCCUGCAGACAAAGCAUCCCUCGAUGGGAACCAAAACUACCCCUGGAGCAAUAAGGACAGCCCUAAGGCCAGCAGGAUCCCCCUCUUGAUUGGACCUAAGACAAUGAUGGACCUGCCCUUUACUGCCCAUUGCACCUACCUUUGUCCCACAUUCUCCUUAUAUAAAUAAACCUAAAAUAGUCAGCAUUUUGAAGACAGUCUUUUUUUUUUUUCUUUGAAGACAGUCUCUGAGUCUAGUCUGCUGUCUUCUCAGUGCUGACCCCACUGAAAUAAAUUCCUUUCUUGUUUCGCCAUCA